rnacentral:lncRNA from 1 species
AAAAACGUAAAGUCUUCACUGUGACUUUGAUGAUCAGUCUGACCUGUGGUAUUCAUUGAGGACAGAAGUGUUUUCAGAGACAGAGUAAUUACAACUUAAACAGGUUACUGGAGAUCCAAAGAGGAAGAUGGAGAAUUCUGUUGCAACUUACAACAGCGUUGAGAACAUCAACUCUUUGAUAGAGUCCAUCUCUCAAUACAGAGAUACGCGUAAGGCUGAGGAGAAACAAAAGUCUCCAUUGUCUGAGAAGAUGAAGAACCUGGAGGAGGAGAACCAGAUGCUGAUGAAGGUGAACAAAGAACUGGCAGAAAACGAGGUCUGCCAGUCACGAAAUGCUCAGAUGAAUAAAGACUGGGUGAAGAAUGUGUGCUCUGAGCUGGAGAAGAAAGAGCAGAAGAUCAGCUCUUUAACGACAGCUUUCCAACAAGCCAACGCUGAAGUGGAGCGCCUGGAGAGUGAACGCUGUGACUUCAACAGCAUGAAGAUGAGGAUGACCACUGAGCUGGAGAAAAAGAACGAGGACUUCAUCGUGUUAAAGAAAGCGCACCAUAAGGUGAACGCUGACUGGCAGCACAUGGAGCAGGAAUUGUGUCUGAAGGAGCGCGACCAUAAGGACACUGUGGCUCAGAAGGAAGCAAAAUGGGAGACGAUGAAGGAGACCCUGAUCACGUCCCAUGAGACCAUGCUGAGCCACGUCUGCUCACAGUUACAGGCUCUACACAAAGAUGUGGAGCUCUAUGAGAGGAACGCUGCUGAGGCUGCAAAACAGCUCCAGGAAAAGGAUGCUACCAUCCACGCCAUGGAGACCAUGUUUGUAGAUCUGCAGAAGAAACAUCUCACUCUGACUACGGUUAAGGAGAACCAGCAAUUGCAAAUUGAUCUUCUGGUGAAGGAGGGCGUUGAACUGAGGGAGCUCGCCCGUAUGACGGACAAACAGAAGGCCAGGAGAAAGAAAGAGCAGGACGAAGCAGAGAAGAAGAACAAGAAGAAGGAAGGAAAACUAGGUUUCCUGAAAAAGAUCUUUUGCUGUUUUCCUUGCUGCAAAGAGUGAGAAAGAAUGGAU